AACUUUCAACAACGGAUCUCUUGGUUCUGGCAUCGAUGAAGAACGCAGCGAAAUGCGAUAAGUAAUGUGAAUUGCAGAAUUCAGUGAAUCAUCGAAUCUUUGAACGCACAUUGCGCCCGCUAGCAUUCUAGCGGGCAUGCCUAUCCGAGCGUCAU
rnacentral:rRNA from 1 species